GAUGAACGCUGGCGGCGUGCCUAAUACAUGCAAGUCGAGCGAACGGACGAGAAGCUUGCUUUUCUGAUGUUAGCGGCGGACGGGUGAGUAACACGUGGAUAACCUACCUAUAAGACUGGGAUAACUUCGGGAAACCGGAGCUAAUACCGGAUAAUAUUUUGAACCGCAUGGUUCAAAAGUGAAAGACGGUCUUGCUGUCACUUAUAGAUGGAUCCGCGCUGCAUUAGCUAGUUGGUAAGGUAACGGCUUACCAAGGCAACGAUGCAUAGCCGACCUGAGAGGGUGAUCAGCCACACUGGAACUGAGACACGGUCCAGACUCCUACGGGAGGUAGCAGUAGGGAAUCUUCCGCAAUGGGCGAAAGCCUGACGGAGCAACGCCGCGUGAGUGAUGAAGGUCUUCGGAUCGUAAAACUCUGUUAUUAGGGAAGAACAUAUGUGUAAGUAACUGUGCACAUCUUGACGUUACCUAAUCAGAAAGCCACGGCUAACUACGUG
rnacentral:rRNA from 1 species